rnacentral:rRNA from 1 species
CGCGUAGGCGGCACCGCAAGUCAGUUGUGAAAUCUCUGGGCUUAACCCAGAAAGGUCAACUGAUACUGCGGGGCUAGAGUGCAGAAGGGGCAACUGGAAUUCUCGGUGUAGCGGUGAAAUGCGUAGAUAUCGAGAGGAACACCUGCGGCGAAGGCGGGUUGCUGGGCUGACACUGACGCUGGAGGCGCGAAGGCUAGGGGAGGCGAACG